AUUAUAGCCAGGCCAGGAGGAGGUCAGCCAGGCUGUGAAACCACGACCAGGUGAUGUGUGGGGUGAUUACAGAUCCUGGCGACCUCUGCCCCGCUUGUUUCUGGUACAAAUCAGCAAGGCUUCAGGACACAGAGGUGGAUCCUUGUGUGUCUUCUCAGUCUGUGAGGCCUAAUACAUCAUGCACCUCCUCCUGGCUCCCCCUUUCUGGUUCAAUCCUCAUCCUGUUGGUUACCGCUGGGCUCUGCUGUGUGAGCUGGAUGGCCACAGGCCCCUCUGCGGCAGCCUGCCUGAACCUGAACCCCUCUGUCCCCUCGAGACUGUCCUGCCAUCUCGCUUCCCAACUGGUCACCAACAUGGAGAACUUGUGCUUUUACCCUCAAUUCUCCCCCCCCCACCCACGUUCCUGUGCCCCCACAGCCCCUCAGGCACCAAGACUCUCUGGGUGUCAGCCUUAUUCCUUGUCCUUCCUCCCACCCACUCCUAGACAUCUCCUCUGCCACGGCCCAGUGCACGCCCCCAUCGCACAGUCCUGAGGGACCCCAGGCCUCUAGUCUCCUUCAAUUUGGCAACAAGAUCCUUCUGAGCUGGACCUUGGCGCUCACCUCCUUCAGAGCCUGCGACGGCUUCCCUCUGCCCCAGGGGUAUAGUCCACACCCCUUAGCAGGACAGGCAGUCAUUCCUUCACGCAGUACCCUAACAGCGCGCCCUUCUCUGUGCCCAGUGCUGGGCCGCAACAGAGAAAACCAGCAAGAAUCUCUGGCCUCAGGAAGCUUAACUUCCAACGAGGAAGACGCACAAUAAACACAGAUUGAAGGUAUUUAGUAUGUCACGUGGUGACAAGGACAAAGGAGAAAAAUAAUGCAGAAAGGGGACACGAGAAUGUCAGGCAGUGGCAGUGAAAGUGAGGAUGGCAGAGGAAGACCGGGCCACGAAGAUGACAUUUUCCUAAAGCCUUGGAGGAGAUGAAGGAGGGAGCCACGUGGAUGUCUGUGGAGGAGCAUUCCAGGCAGAGGGAACAAGGACUGCAAAGGCUCUUCGGGUUGCCACUUGAGACUUUCCGUCUGGGUUGGUCCCCCUCAUUAUCCUCCCACAUAGCCUGCUGCACGUGGCACGCGUGGCCCCGUCCCACACUGUAGGAGCACUGAUCUGCCAGGAGUUUUCCUUGUGGACCGUGUCCCUUCCUGACUGUGAGGCCCAGGAGCGCAGGGACCUUGUCUGACUCAUUUCGCAUUCUUGUACUCAGGACAUGCCUAGCACAUAGUAGGUGCACAGCAAAUUGCCUGGCUGGAAGAGUGCAACCAUACGAAUGGAAGAGAGUAAAGAAUAAAAAAGCUCCUGUUCCUUUAAAUAAGCAGCAACAACCCAGCAUCAUCAUCAUCUUAACUACCACGUCAUGAAUGUUACCGGGUACCAAGCAAUUUAAACACAAGCCUGGAAGCCUAGAAGGAAGACCUGCAAGAGGGUAUUGUUAUCUCCAUUCAUCAGAUGAAAAAGUUGAGACCUAGAAGGUAAAAUCACUGCCCCGCCCUCGACUGGCCCCUUCCACUGGGAGGUCUUAUUUGCUUGCUGACUUUCCCCAACAACUUUACUGAUCUUUGUGUGCCUGGCCCUGGAGUGAGCAUGGGGCAUCCAGAAAUAACAAGACAUGAUCCCUGCGUCGUCCAGUGAAGACUAUGACAGACAGAUGAUCACCACAUCACCACGUGACACUGUGCAGGGUCCAGAGGAGGCACUGCUCUGCCUGAGUGGGGAGUGGUGGGCUGGGAGCAUUUUCUGCAUCAGAUGCUCUGCUCCAUGCACAGUGCCAGGGCCUCAGAGCUCUUAAGGGCCCAGGGAAAUGUUUAAGGCCUGAAAAAAGUCAGGAGAUUAAAAUACAAC
rnacentral:lncRNA from 1 species